GGGUAGGUGGCCGAGCGGUCUAAGGCGAUCGCUUCAGGUUAAUCCUUGAGCAUGCGGUUGUACUCUGUACUCGUGGGUUCGAAUCCCACCCUACUCA